rnacentral:rRNA from 1 species
GACGAACGCUGGCGGCGUGCUUAACACAUGCAAGUCGAACGGAAAGGCCCCUUCGGGGGUACUCGAGUGGCGAACAGGUGAGUAACACGUGAGUAACCUGCCCUUGACUGCGGGAUAACUUCAGGAAACUGGGGCUAAUACCGGAUAGGAAUCCUUGCUGCAUGGGGGGGGUUGGAAAGCUUCGGCGGUUUUGGAUGGACUCGCGGCUUAUCAGCUUGUUGGUGGGGUAGUGGGUUACCAAGGCUGUGACGGGUAGCCGGACUGAGAGGGCGACAGGCCACAUUGGGACUGAGAUGAGGCACAGGCUCCUAAGGGAGGCAGCAGUGGGGAAGCCUGAACCAUGGGCGGAACGCGGAUGCAGAAACGCCGCGGGUGGGAUGACGGCCUUCGGGUUGUAAACCGCUUUCAGCAGGGGCGAAGCUUGUGGUGACGGUACCUGAAGAAGAAGCACCGGCUAACUACGUG